GCUGGGCAGGGUGGUGCAUGUCUGUAGUCCCAGCUACUCGGGAGGCUGAGGCAGGAGGAUCACUUGAGCCCAGGAGUUCAAGGUUGCAGUGAGCUACGAUCGGGCCACUGCACUCCAGCCUGGGCAACAGAGUGAAACCCUGAUUCAA
ensembl:misc_RNA Metazoa_SRP Metazoan signal recognition particle RNA